rnacentral:lncRNA from 1 species
UGCUGGCUAAAUUUGAAACUCAAUGAGUCACACACUUUGGAAUUUUAUUUUAAUCUAAUUUAAUUAGAGUUUAAUAUAAAUUUUAUAGAUUAAUUAGAUAUGCUAGCAUAUUGUAUUAACCCAAGUUUUUAAAUUGAUUUAGAUCAAAGUGUUUGAGCUAACCUAGACCAGUUAUCUUUGACCUAAUGGGAUUGGGUCUAUCUUAAUUAGUUUCCUACCCAACUUGAAAUAGUUUCAAGUGGAGAAAGACUCCUCUAUGCCCACC